AUACGGAGGGUGCAAGCGUUGUCCGGAAUCAUUGGGCGUAAAGAGUUCGUAGGUGGUUUGUUAAGUUUGGUGUUGAAUGCAGAGGCUCAACUUCUGUUCGGCAUCGGAUACUGGCAGACUUGAAUGCGGUAGAGGUAAAGGGAAUUCCUGGUGUAGCGGUGAAAUGCGUAGAUAUCAGGAGGAACACCAGUGGCGAAGGCGGCCUGCUGGGCUUUUACUGACGCUGAGGCUCGAAAGUGUGGGGAGC
rnacentral:rRNA from 1 species